rnacentral:rRNA from 1 species
UACGGGGGGUGCAAGCGUUAUUCGGAAUCAUUGGGCGUAAAGGGCGCGUAGGAGGUCUCUUAUGUCAGAUGUGAAAGCCCUCGGCUCAACCGAGGAAGUGCAUUUGAAACUGAGAGACUUGAGUAUGGGAGAGGGAAGCGGAAUUCCUGGUGUAGCGGUGAAAUGCGUAGAUAUCAGGAGGAACACCGGUGGCGAAGGCGGCUUCCUGGACCAAUACUGACGCUGAGGCGCGACGGCGUGGGGAGCAAACACG